AGUCGGAGUAAGAAUGCCUGCAGAGACCUGGACCAGAGUGGGCAGAAUGGAGAUGGAGUCUCACUCUGCCGCCCGAGCUGGAGUACAGUGGUGUGAUCUCGGCUCACUGCAACCUCCACCACCUGGGUUCAAGCGAUUCUCCUGUCUCAGCUUCCCGAAUAGCUGGGACAACAGGCCUAUUAUAGGAGACAUAUUGCUCACCCUUCACGAGAGGUCAAACACCUGAGUUAAAUUUUGGAAAGCUUCUAUAUACCUAUCAGGAUCUUCAGAAAAUCAGACUAAGCCUCCUUUUAUUUGCCUAAGGACCUGCAAUGAGAAGGGAACUUGAACCCUAGUGGCAUCACCUCCAUUGGGAAUUUCCUAUAGGGAAUUGGUUCCUUCCGGUGGGUUCUUGGUUUUGCUGACUUUAAGAAUGAAGCCGCGGACUCUCGUGGUGAGUGUUACAGUUCUUAAAGAUGGUGUGUCCGGAGUUUGUUCCUUCAGAUGUUCAGAUGUGUCCAGAAUUUCUUCCUUCUGGUGGGUUCAUGGUCCCGCUUGACUUCAGGAGUGAAGGGGCAGACCUUCACAGUGAUUGUUACAACUCUUAAAGGUGGCGCAUCUGGAGUUGUUUGUUCCUCCCAGUGGGUUUGUGGUCUCGCUGACUUCAGGAGUGAAGCUGCAGACCUUUGCAGUGAGUGUUACGGUUCACAAAGGUAGUGUGGACCCAGAGAGUGAGCAGUAGUAAGAUUUAUUGUGAAGAGUGAAAGAACAAAGCUUCCACAAUGUGGAAGCGGACCCGAGCUGGUUGCUGCUGCUAGCUGGGGUUGGCCAGCUUUUAUUCCUUUAUUGGCCCUGCCCACACCCUGCUGAUUGGUCCAUUUUACAGAGUGCUGAUUGGUCCAUUUUUACAGAGUGCUGAUUGGUGCAUUUACAAAACUUUAGCUAGACACAGAGUGCUGAUUGGUACAUUUUUACAGAGUGCUGAUUGGUGUGUUUACAAACCUUUAGCUAGACAGAAAAGUUCUCCAAGUCCUCAAUCAACCCAGGGGGUCCAGCUGGCUUCAUCUCUCAGUUUCACCAUUACUAUAAUGGUUCAGUGAAGUCACUAAAAAUGGCUAACUUGUACACUUGAAAUAGGUAAAUUUUAUGACAUAUAAAGUACUGCAAUAAAGUUGUUUUUAGAAAUAAAAUAUUUGUUUUUCAAACCAGUAUUUUAUUUUUUAAACAAUUUUGUUCUUCAUGGUAUUUAUUCCUUGUCUUAUCACUUCAAUCAGUUUAUAAGUUCUUCUAUUCUUAUUUUAUAAUCACUGUAAAAUAGUUUUCAUUUUCUAGGUUCUUUAAGGUGUUAUUUCUAUAAUUCACUUUUUUUUAUUAGCUAACUCUCUUUAAUGUUAGGAUGGUUUUGUAUAUGCUUUAUAAUUUUAUGCCUCCAGCAUUCUAGUUUUCUUUCUAUACACAUUGGCUGUUGAUUGCUUACUACUUGUGCCCUACAAUUUAUAUACUUUGCAGUCCUUAGAAGCUUUAUGAGUUACACAGUGGCUCCCCUUGAUUCCUCUAUCUGCUUCAGGCCUGAGGCCACAUCUAUCCAAUCUUGGUCUUCAUACUCAUCCUUCAGCCCUUUGUCCAGGAUCUGCUGCCUUAGGAGAUGCCUUGAUCUUGAUGGCUGCUUACCUUUCUUACCUUCAGUUUUCUUUUUGUCUCUGGCACAUGCAAAUGACUUUUGAAUUUAUUUAUUUUGAGCAGAGUGAUUUCUUUAAUGUUACUA
rnacentral:lncRNA from 1 species